rnacentral:rRNA from 1 species
AGCGAACGCUGGCGGCAGGCUUAACACAUGCAAGUCGAACGGGCUUCUUCGGAAGUCAGUGGCAGACGGGUGAGUAACACGUGGGAACGUGCCCUUCGGUUCGGAAUAACUCAGGGAAACUUGAGCUAAUACCGGAUACGCCCUUUUGGGGAAAGGUUUACUGCCGAAGGAUCGGCCCGCGUCUGAUUAGCUUGUUGGUGGGGUAACGGCCUACCAAGGCGACGAUCAGUAGCUGGUCUGAGAGGAUGAUCUGCCACACUGGGACUGAGACACGGCCCAGACUCCUACGGGGGGCAGCAGUGGGGAAUAUUGGACAAUGGGCGCAAGCCUGAUCCAGCCAUGCCGCGUGAGUGAUGAAGGCCUUAGGGUUGUAAAGCUCUUUUGUCCGGGACGAUAAUGACGGUACCGGAAGAAUAAGCCCCGGCUAACUUCGUG